rnacentral:rRNA from 1 species
GUAACAAAGUAAAUGUAUAGGAAUAUGCAUUUAGAUAAAUAUUAAAAUUUUAAGGUUAAUUUAUUUAAUAUUGGAUGAAUUAGAAUUAUUAUAUUUAAAGUUAUAUAAAAUUAAAUGAAGUUAUAAAUUAUUUUGAGAAAAUUAAUAAAAUUAUAUAUAGAGUAAUGUAGAUGAAAAUUUAGUUAAUAAAUAAAAGUAAAUUUAAUUAAUUGUACCUUUAGUAUCAGGGAUUAUUAAAAAUAAAUUUAUGAAUUGUAAAUUUUUCGAAUUUAAUAGAGCUAAUAAUUUAUGAUAGUUAAUGUUGAAUAAUUAUUAUUAAUAGAUUGUUUGAUGAUAUAUUCAAUUCGUAUUUAAUGAUAUCUAAGUUUUUAAGUGUAAAAUUUAAUUUGAAAUUUAUUUAGAAAUUUAUUUUAUUUAAAAAUAAAUAAUUUUUUGUAAAUAUGAAAAUUUAUGGGAUAAUCUAUAAAUUAAUGAAUUAAAAUUGAUUUAUUUAUAUUAAAGUAUUAUAAUAAUAAUAUUUAAAAAAUUUUAAAUAUUGUAGAAAAAAUUUAAUAAUUUAUAUAUAUAAAGAUAUAAAAAUUUUUAACAUUAGAUAGAUUUAAUUAAUUUAAAAAUAUUAAUUUAAAUAAGUUUAAUUGAGUAAUAAUGAUAAUAUAAGUAAAAAUAAAUUAAUGUAAUAAUAUUUAAUUAAAGAUUUAUAUUAAUUAAAGGAAUUAGGCAAAUAUUUAAAUUCAUCUGUUUAAUAAAAACAUAGUUUUUAGAUAAUAAUAAAAAAUAUUUUCUGCUCUAUGACAAUAAUAGUUAAAUGGCUGCAGUAUAUUGACUGUACAAAGGUAGCAUAAUAAAUUGUCUUUUAAAUGAAGACUUGUAUGAAUGGAUAAAUGAAAUUUAAACUGUCUCUAAUUAAAAAUUUGAAUUUAUUUUUUAAGUAAAAAAACUUAAAUAAAAUUAUGGGACGAGAAGACCCUAUAGAAUUUUAUAUAUUUUAAUUAAAUAUAUAUUAUAAUUGAAGAUAUAUUUAGUUGGGAGGAUUGUUAAAUUAAAAAAACUUUAAUUAAUUAAAAAUAUUAAUAAAUAAAUUAUUAGAAUGAUUAAUAAAUUAAAAAAGAAUUAAUUACCUUAGGGAUAACAGCAUAAUAUUUUUAGAAAGAUCAUAUUAAUAAAAAUGAUUGUGACCUCGAUGUUGAAUUAAGAUAAAAUUUAAAUGUAGAAGUUUAAACUUUAAGUCUGUUCGACUUUUAAAAUCUUACAUGAUUUGAGUUUAAAUCGGCGUGAGCCAGAUUGGAUUCUAUCUAUAAUAAAUUUUAAUAAGUUUGUACGAAAGGAC